ensembl:lncRNA
GGGACAGAGAAGGGCAGGCAGUAGGCGUGAAGCUGUGAGCAGAGUAGAGAGCAACUUGGCGGAGCAGCAAGCAGAGUAGGCAAGUGCUGAGGUUUGGCGUGAGUAGCAGCAAAAGCCCAUAGCAUCAAGAAGCAGGAAGUGAGGAGAAGGUAAGUGAAGGGCAGGCAAGGUAAUGGGAAGCAAAGGCAAGGGGAAAGGGGAGGGUAAGGGAGAAAGAGGGAUGGGAAGGGGAGGGGAGGGGAUGGGUGAAGAGCAGAGCGGAGGGAAGGGCUGAGGGGAGGGCUGAAGGCAAACCAAUGAUGAAAAAAGAAAAGAAAAAAUAAGAACAAAAAAUAUGAAAUAAGAGAAAAAUAAAAAGAAAAAUAAGAAAAAGAGAAAAAAUGAAAAGAAAAAAAGAAAAAAUGAACGAAAAAGAUAAAAUAGAGAAAAGAAAAAAGGAAAUGAACAAAAAAGAGAAAAAAGAGAAAAGAAAAAAAAUGAACAAAAAAGAGAAAAAAGAGAAAAGAAAAAAAAAUGAACAAAAAAGAGAAAAAAGAGAAAAGAAAAAAAAUGAACAAAAAAGAGAAAAAAGAGAAAAGAAAAAAAAUGAACAAAAAAGAGAAAAAAGAGAAAAGAAAAAAAAUGAACAAAAAAGAGAAAAAAGAGAAAAAGAAAAAAAAUGAACAAAAAAGAAAAAAA